rnacentral:rRNA from 1 species
UUGCAUGGCGGCAGCUACACAUGCAGUCGAGCGGUAACAGAUCCAGCUUGCUGGAUGCUGACGAGCGGCGGACGGGUGAGUAAUGCAUAGGAAUCUGCCCGAUAGUGGGGGAUAACCUGGGGAAACCCAGGCUAAUACCGCAUACGUCCUACGGGAGAAAGGGGGCUUCGGCUCCCGCUAUCGGAUGAGCCUAUGUCGGAUUAGCUAGUUGGUGAGGUAACGGCUCACCAAGGCCACGAUCCGUAGCUGGUCUGAGAGGAUGAUCAGCCACAUCGGGACUGAGACACGGCCCGAACUCCUACGGGAGGCAGCAGUGGGGAAUAUUGGACAAUGGGGGGAACCCUGAUCCAGCCAUGCCGCGUGUGUGAAGAAGGCCCUCGGGUUGUAAAGCACUUUCAGCGAGGAAGAACGCCUAGCGGUUAAUACCCGCUAGGAAAGACAUCACUCGCAGAAGAAGCACCGGCUAACUCCGUGCCAGCAGCCGCGGUAAUACGGAGGGUGCAAGCGUUAAUCGGAAUUACUGGGCGUAAAGCGCGCGUAGGUGGCUUGAUAAGCCGGUUGUGAAAGCCCCGGGCUCAACCUGGGAACGGCAUCCGGAACUGUCAAGCUAGAGUGCAGGAGAGGAAGGUAGAAUUCCCGGUGUAGCGGUGAAAUGCGUAGAGAUCGGGAGGAAUACCAGUGGCGAAGGCGGCCUUCUGGACUGACACUGACACUGAGGUGCGAAAGCGUGGGUAGCAAACAGGAUUAGAUUCUUG